AGAGACUGAGGCCUUGGACGCCCGUGGCUUUCAUCCGAUGACACGAGCGGCACUGACCUGAAGGACAGUUCUAUCAUGGAACCAAUGCUUCUCCCCUAGGUACAAGGUACUGGGUUUAUUGAUUGUUACUUCCUCUUGGAUUCAGGUAGCAGUUACUGCUGAAUCACACGGACUGAUACAGGGCCUUAAAAACAGUAUCAUAUCAUCAUGUUGCGUACUUGGAGGCUCUCUCUUGUUUUGGAAACCUGAAAGAAUGAUAAGCAGCUUCUCUUCACCAUCAAGUGGGUCAGCAUGAUCUUUCUGAGAUGCGUUUUUGUUUUCGCAUGUGCCAAGAGUCACGUGGAGCUCGGUGUUAGAAUAUAAAAAAAGCUUUAGUCAAAAGAGGAAACAAUGAACGAGAUGACUUUUUGAAAUAACCUGAAGUCUACGGAUGAGAAGCAGCUGCUUGAGAGAGCCCUGACUGAGACACCGACCAAGAAGCCUGCAGAAGACAACAACUAUGUGCAAAUGCCCCAGGGAAGAGCAGAAGAAAUGCCCAGCUGAGCCCAGCCCAACUUCAUGAAGAACAACAACAAACUGCUCAUGUGAGUCCCUAAAUUGAGGGAGGUUUGUGACAGAGCAACAAGUUGAGAGAGGCACCCCGAGCCCACUGCAUGAGGUAACAUACCCAUUCAGUGAGCAAAACAGGCUAACAGAGUUGGGGCUUCACUAUCAGGUCUCCUAUUUCAAAUUUCUACUUUGGUUUCCCAUCUAACUUAGAGCCAAUUUAUUUCAAAUUGGAGCGACUAUAUUUCACUCCUAGUAUCUGCCUCUCCACCGCCCCCCGCCAUUUACUUACCAAACAAAUCCCACUUCCAUGUUACCACCAAAAUAUCGAAGAUCCUAAUUAAAAUUCUCCCUGCCAUCACUCAUCCUUUCCAGCAUACUUCUGCCUACAGGAUAAAGUCCUGAGCCUCCCCUUCAUAGCUCUUCAUGAGGCCCUGUCCCAAAGCAGAAGAGGCAGGAGUCUAGACCCACUGGCCCCCUCCCCACUGAUCUAGAGUUUCUCCCAGAUGUGUUAACCUACCCUGUGCUUCCAAGCUGAGCAUACUCCAUAACUUAGAAAGUUCUU